GAUGAAGAACGUAGCGAAAUGCGAUAAGUAAUGUGAAUUGCAGAAUUCAGUGAAUCAUCAAAUCUUUGAACGCACAUUGCGCCCCUUGGCAUUCCUUGGGGCAUGCCUGUUCGAGCGUCACUGCAAACCCACUCAUAAAUAUUAUGGUAUUGAUGGAAGUGAACGGAACCAAUCUAUGUGUUCAGGUCAUCCCAUCGAAAUGUAUAAGCAGGACAAUCAACCUGUGCAAUGGACUUAGUAACUGUCUUGAAGACAUAAACCAGUUUGUUGCUUGGUUUUGACUUAGCUUCCAUGGACCUCCAUCCAAGAUAAUAAACUCUGGGUUGACCUCGGAUCAGGUAGGGAUACCCGCUGAACUUAAGCAUAUCAAUAAGCGGAGGA
rnacentral:misc_RNA from 1 species